GAAUAUUGGGCAAUGGCCGAGAGGCUGACCCAGCCAUGCCGCGUGCAGGAAGAAGGCCUUCUGGGUUGUAAACUGCUUUUAUCAGGGAAGAAAACGCUCAUGCGAGAGUAACUGACGGUACCUGAUGAAUACGCACCGGCCAACUCCGUGCAAGCAGCCGCGGUAAAACGGAGGGUGCAAGCGUUGUCCGGAUUUAUUGGGUUUAAAGGGUGCGUAGGCGGCCCGUUAAGUCAGCGGUGAAAUCCCAGGGCUCAACCCUGGAACUGCCGUUGAUACUGGCGGGCUUGAGUUCGGUCGAGGCGGGCGGAACUGGUGGUGUAGCGGUGAAAUGCAUAGAUACCACCAAGAACCCCGAUUGCGUAGGCAGCUCGCUAGGCCGAAACUGACGCUGAGGCACGAAAGCGUGGGGAGCGAACAGG
rnacentral:rRNA from 1 species